rnacentral:rRNA from 1 species
UACAGAGGUCUCAAGCGUUGUUCGGAUUCAUUGGGCGUAAAGGGUGCGUAGGCGGCGCGGUAAGUCGGAUGUGAAAUCUCGGAGCUUAACUUCGAAACUGCAUUCGAUACUGCCGUGCUUGAGGACUGGAGAGGAGACUGGAAUUACGGUGUAGCGGUGAAAUGCGUAGAUAUCGUAAGGAAGACCAGUGGCGAAGGCGGGUCUCUGGACAGUUCCUGACGCUGAGGCACGAAGGUCAGGGGAGCAAACGGG